UACGGAGGGUGCAAGCGUUACUCGGAAUUACUGGGCGUAAAGCGCGCGUAGGUGGCUUGAUAAGCCGGUUGUGAAAGCCCCGGGCUCAACCUGGGAACGGCAUCCGGAACUGGCAAACUAGAGUCUUGGAGAGGGGGGUAGAAUUUCCGGUGUAGCGGUGAAAUGCGUAGAGAUCGGAAGGAAUACCAGUGGCGAAGGCGGCCUUCUGGACUGAUACUGACACUGAGGUGCGAAAGCGUGGGUAGCAAACAGG
rnacentral:misc_RNA from 1 species